rnacentral:rRNA from 1 species
UUUAUGGAGAGUUUGAUCCUGGCUCAGAGUGAACGCUGGCGGCGUGCCUAAUACAUGCAAGUCGAACGAUGAAGCCUAGCUUGCUAGGCGGAUUAGUGGCGCACGGGUGAGUAACGCAUAGAUGACAUGCCCUUUAGUUUGGGAUAGCCACUAGAAAUGGUGAUUAAUACCAAAUACUACCCUAUGGGGGAAAGAUUUAUCGCUAAAGGAUUGGUCUAUGUCCUAUCAGCUUGUUGGUGAGGUAAAGGCUCACCAAGGCUAU